rnacentral:rRNA from 1 species
UACGUAGGGUGCAAGCGUUGUCCGGAAUUAUUGGGCGUAAAGAGCUCGUAGGCGGUCUGUUGCGUCGGCUGUGAAAACCCGGGGCUCAACUCCGGGCCUGCAGCCGAUACGGGCAGACUAGAGUUCGGCAGGGGAGACUGGAAUUCCUGGUGUAGCGGUGAAAUGCGCAGAUAUCAGGAGGAACACCGGUGGCGAAGGCGGUUCUCUGGGCAUGUCCUGACGCUGAGGAGCGAAAGUGUGGGGAGCGAACAGG